UGGGGAAUUUUGGACAAUGGGCGCAAGCCUGAUCCAGCAAUGCCGCGUGCAGGAUGAAGGCCUUCGGGUUGUAAACUGCUUUUGUACGGAACGAAAAGCCCUGGGUUAAUACCCUGGGGUCAUGACGGUACCGUAAGAAUAAGCACCGGCUAACUACGUGCCAGCAGCCGCGGUAAUACGUAGGGUGCAAGCGUUAAUCGGAAUUACUGGGCGUAAAGCGUGCGCAGGCGGUUUUGUAAGACAGAGGUGAAAUCCCCGGGCUCAACCUGGGAACUGCCUUUGUGACUGCAAGGCUAGAGUACGGCAGAGGGGGAUGGAAUUCCGCGUGUAGCAGUGAAAUGCGUAGAUAUGCGGAGGAACACCGAUGGCGAAGGCAAUCCCCUGGGCCUGUACUGACGCUCAUGCACGAAAGCGUGGGGAGCAAACAGGAUUAGAUACCCUGGUAGUCCACGCCCUAAAGCGAUGCCAACUGGUUGUUGGGUCUUAACUGACUCAGUAAACGAAGCUAACGCGUGAAGUUUGGACCGCCUGGGGGAGUACGGCCGCAAGGUUGAAA
rnacentral:rRNA from 1 species